UGUAGGGGGGGGGAGUGUAGUCAAGCCUCAUAACUUGGGCCAGAAGAAACGCAUAAUAGCACUUAACAGUACUCGACAGCCCUGUGGCUGGAGAGAGAAAUGAGUAAAGGGCCCGUGUGCCAAAUUCACUGAGAUGAUUUAUCUGAGGUCCCUUUACUUCUCUGUGGAGGUUUGCUCAACCUGAGCGCGUCUGAUGAACGUUGGCCAUGAACCGUGCAGCAUUCGCGGUCUUGUUCUUUCCAGUCGGUCCAAAGGGUUAACCGCCGCGGCGGAUGUAGUUGUAAGUGGGACAAAGGCUAGUUUUGUCCUGCGAUGAGCCCUAUAUGUAGAGCGGCCCCAGAAAAGCUGGGAACAAACCAUUUUUCUUUAGGAGCCCCGCCCAUACCGUCAGGGAAGCAGAAUGAGGGUGGUCCCACGGCUCGUUACUUGGGCGGAGUCCCUCUGCAUUCACAAACGGGGUCCUGUUCUGACAUUCCAUUUGGUCGAGAGUAACUCUCCACACGUUCCACCCCGUGUUCUCGGUAUCGUCUUCUCUCUACAGCAGAGGUGUCUCGCUCCAAUCCUGGAGGGCCACGCCGUCUACUGGUUUUCGACGUUGAUUAAUUGUAGUCAUUGGCUAGAGUCCAUAUACCUUGUUCUCAAGGCCUUAGUUGGCUGCUGAUUGAAAGGAAACUACAAAUACAUGCAGGCAUUGUGGUCCUCCAGGACUGCAGUUUGACACCCCUGCUCUAUUGUACGUGUCUGCAAAUGCACUGUGACUGUUUCAGCGGAGAAUAAGAAUGGACAUUUUUGUAAUUGAAAGUGGAAAUAUUUUGAGCUAUGAAAACAGUGCUACAAAGUAUAGGUAACAGAAAAUGUGUAAAUGUAUAUUUAUGGAAAACGCAAGUUUUGAGGUGGAUGAAGAAUUAACCGUCAGGUUUGGGGAAAUCUUAGUUUUUAGUCACAGAUUCAGUGUUGAGGAUUAUUUCUUUAUGGGGAGGGGCUGUUUUUUUUUUUUUUUUUUGUUUUUUUGCUUUUUUGGGAAUGAUUUGUGGAGCUAAAGUUUUGGCGGUGUUCAGGUUUUUUAAGUAAAUGGUGAAUUUAGUGAAUUCCAUGACUGAACUGUUGUAACUAAACAAAAAAACGUGUUGGAGUGGCAUGCAUGGUGAAACAUCAAUCAUGGAGGUUUUUAUGAUGGCCAUAACAGUGCAUUAUUAUGAUGGAUGUUAUUCCAUUUCACGAUUCCCAUCACGCCAUGCUCAAGAGCGAUCAACUGUUACAGAAAGGUUGAUGUUGGAGCCCGUAGAUCAGCGCUACUGAACUCUCGAUCAUGCGGCCUCAAUGCUGAUAAGUAUUUGCUGCAACCGUGCACUGGACCAUCUGAUUUCACUUAUUAUUUUACCUCCUUGGUCCAGGAAGUAAGCCCAUUCGUGAAAUGAGGUGGUGUAAUGCAAAUCCCUGCAGACACUGCAGCCCACAGGACCUUGAGCUGAGUAACCCUAUCGCACUGUAGAUAAUACUGCCAUAAAACAAUGUUUUGCCUGUUAGACCUUGUGAACAGCAGAGGUGGAAAAUACCGGUUCAGAAAGUAAAAGUCCUCCCUGGUAUUUUGUUCCAAUCACCUGGAUUUGCUAAUUGGUGCAAUUCUUCAGCCAAGAGUAAGAACUAAUUAGUGGAAUCUAGCUAGCUGAGUUUAUGGGUGGUUAGUGGAAUCUAGCUGGCUGAAUUCAUGGGUGGAUAAAAACACAUAGCAGGAUUUUGCUUUCUGACCCCUGGACUUCCUGCUACUGGUAAACAGCAGCUGUCGUGGUGCAGUUUCGUGCGCACUAAAGGGUUUUAAAUUAUUGGUUGAGAAGCUUUGGCUCAGUUUGGAGCAGAGUGGCGGUGGCCUGGUGGGAAGGCUCGCUGAAGGGAAAUGCGAUUGUGGCUGCGAGCGGCCUUUCGUAGCGUUCUGAAGUGUCCGCGCGGGUCUGUUGGGUGAAGCCGCGCUGCCUGCUGAGAGAAAGGAGGGGGGGUUAAAUUUGGUAGUGCCUCGUCGCGUCAGAAAAAUAAUCGUAGUAGUAUAUGGGGGGAAGAAAGAUGUAGUAGUAUAUGGGGGGGAAGAAAGACCUACUGGAGCACACACACUUCCCUCUGCUCUCGCCUGCUGUUGCUCUGAUGGGAGACGGUCUCUGCCUGCUGUUGUGUGAGGUUUUGUGAGGAGGAUGGGGUGGGGGCUGUUUAUUUACGUCCCUCACAGCCCUACGACCCCCCUCAUCUUCCUUCGCCAACCCGCACCGUCUGUGGAGGCACACUCCAACCUCCCAAUGCAUACGUCCGUCUGUCCGCUUCAUUUGUGCUAAUAUGGUCUUAAUGCUAUUUUGCUAAAAUAUUCCUUUGUCAUCAAAUAUUCAAUGUAAGAAAAAAAAAAGUAAAUUAAUGCAUACAAAUAAAAGCAUUAAAAUAAGAUUCAUUCCAUUUUAUAUUUGUUUUCAUUUUGUUUUGCAUACUAUGCAUAAAUCCGCAACUCAUUGAAUAUCAGGAAUUUGAUUAGCAUCUCUUGCUGCCCUGUCAAAUUACGUGUACUGACUAUCCAAUAAAAUGUCAUUUUUACCCUGUCUGUUGUGCCUAUUGCUUCAGCGAGGUGGCAUAUUUUCAAAUAUUCACUACCUGACUAGAAUGUAGCCUAACCACUUACCAACAGUGUGGCUUUUUGAUAUUAUGAUUUGUCCAUUUACUCCCGAGUUUUAUAUGAUAAAAUAACUGGUUAAAUGAGCGCAUCUAUUUCUAAAACGAGGUUAUAGGACCCAGUCUAUUCUUCCGCUCCGGUGAUCACCAAUUUCACUCAUCCCGGGUUUCAGAAGACCUUCAUCUCGUCGACCUCACGGCGCCCCUCGUCCAUUAUUAAUUCCUUCAUCUCCCACUCGCUGCAGAGCAUUUUACAGAUUUGACCAUAAUGGUGGACAUUUUUGUGUUAAUGUUUUUCGCCAUAAGCGCACUCGUCUUUUUGUCGUAUAUCAUCUACAUGCUGUGAUGAACGCGAGAGCUCAGAAGGGCUGCGUCACUGAUGGGAUGAAAAACAAGGCAGACAUUUCGGUGUAGCAUGCAACAUUCCACUGCUACAUCCUGCAAAUAAGGAGAUGAGAGAAAAGUGUCACCUGCUGGUUGACAUGGAAGAAGCUCCUAGUAAAGGGAUGGUGAAGCAGUGGGAGGUUGGAACGGACAGCUGAUCCUCUCCAUCACCAGGCAGAUUCCUGGCUUCAGACAUGCUUCUGAGUUUCAUUGAUAUAUUCAACUCCAUUUUGACAUUUGCCUUAACAUGGCAGAUGGUAUCCUUGCAAGUCUACUGCUAGAUUAGCUUAGCUUUGUGCAGCUCAUUAUACCAGUUAUUAAGCAUAGCUACACAAGGUGUGUCAGAAAAUGAGUAAAUGCAGUUGAUUGUACAGUGUGUAGGCUACCUGUACAUGCCUCAGCAGCCUGUUUGAUCUUACAUUGUCAUCGCCACUGUGCUGCUCCUGUGUGAUAUAGCUGCUCAUUAAUUCACAUUCAUAUCAGCUUGUUUUACCAUUUUACAUUUCAAUAUGUUUUUUUUAUGUUAAUGCAUUUAUUUAUGUCUAAAAUGCAAAUAAAAGUUUGAUUUUCUUUUUCCA